UACGUAGGGGGCAAGCGUUGUCCGGAAUCAUUGGGCGUAAAGCGCGCGUAGGCGGCCCUGUAAGUCCGUUGGGAAAGUCGAAGGCUCAACCUUCGAAAGCCGAUGGAUACUGCAGGGCUAGAGUCCGGAAGAGGCGAGUGGAAUUCCUGGUGUAGCGGUGGAAUGCGCAGAUAUCAGGAGGAACACCGGUGGCGAAGGCGGUUCUCUGGGCAUGACCUGACGCUGAGGAGCGAAAACAUGGGGAGCGAACAGG
rnacentral:rRNA from 1 species